AAAAAUGUUUACAGUAAUGGUAAUAUUGGUAAUAAUACACCAUUGGACUUAUUGCAAAGACAAUUUUUUCAAUGUUUGUUCAUAUCAAACCUGCCAAAUUGUUGCUAUUAGAGUUGGUCAUUCCUUACAUUAUGAGAUUCCUAAAAUGAAAAUAGCAGUAAUAGAUCCUGAGAGCUGUGAGAUCAUUUUGUUCAGGUUACAUAUUAAGGACACCAGUCUUUGGAAGAUUAGGAACGUUGUCUAUAGUUUCAUGACUAUGAAAUGGCAGAUUUUUUUUUCUCCAAACCCCAUGCUUUUUUUUUUUUUUUUUUUUUUUUUAUCACAACCGUGCAUGCCUCUCUCAGCCCCAUAUCUGCCCCAGAGAUGUCAAACAUUCCCUCCUCCCUACCCAUAUGCUGCCUUGGAGACUCUGCCCCACUCCUGACUUGGAAGGGAGAGUACUACCUGCCAUGUGACUGUGCCCCACCAGUCUCAGUUACUGACCUCAGAGUAGACAUCUGACUCAAGCUGGGUUGAUCGAAUUCUCUCCCAGGAAUUUGGAAUAGGGACAAAGAGGCUGAGUCAUUUAGCUGUGUGGAGCCAAGCUGCAAGGUCAUGCCCAGCUGGCCUGCCAUAGCAGGCCGAAACCUCAUGCUAGCCACAGUGAAGGGAAGCUGAGAAACCAUGAGUCAGCAGAAAAAAACUCGCAUGCAAACAAAAGAGCACAAAGAUGGGGCAGACCAACACCCAGAGUCAAACAGAGAGGCCAUGUACCUCGAAAGGCAGAGGAGAGAGAGAGAGAAAUAAAAUCUGCAUAAUCCCCUUCUUGGUCUUAUAAUGCCCAGCAGCUGUAUCUCCAGCGCUGGCUUAUUGUGACCCCAUAAUGACCUCUGCCUUUCAAUCAACCCUCUUUUUAUUUGAGUUAGUGGAAUUCUGUUCCUUGCAUGCAAAUUCUUCCUAAGACACUUCACAAUUCAUAUUGGAUAUAUUUUGGGGUAGAAAAACUAUUCUGCUCUUUAUGACGAUUAUGGAAAUUGAGGUUUUAUCUCAAAACCCACAACAGGCUGAGCAGCUCUCUGCAUUCUCUCCACUAAUUAUCCAGACUCCGAAGACUGAGCUUUCAAGGUACUUGUGGAAUCUCUACAGGCCCAAGGUUGACAUGACCAUAUCCGUGAAAAGCUCAGGUUUUCUGGCCUCACCCGAUCUCUCCCAGAAUCCCCAAGGAUGAUCUGACCUGAAUCAGCCAUUCCUCUGAAGAGCCAUGGUUCCUUUUAAUGGAGAAAGGUACAGGAUGCUUCUUCCAAAUUCUUCAGCACCGGUUGAUCACCUAGAGUGUAAUUUCCGCAGCUUGGCAGACAGCUGUGCUGGAGGUGAGUGAGUCCUUUGC